rnacentral:rRNA from 1 species
UGCUAUUGGGAUCCGAUUUAGCCAUGCUAGUCGCACGAGUUCAGACUCGUGGCGAAUAGCUCAGUAACACGUGGCCAAACUACCCUUCGGAACACAAUACCCUCGGGAAACUGAGGCUAAUAGUGUAUACCAUACCACCACUGGAUUGAGUGGUAUGCCAAACGCUCCGGCGCCGAAGGAUGUGGCUGCGGCCGAUUAGGUAGACGGUGGGGUAACGGCCCACCGUGCCAAUAAUCGGUACGGGUCAUGAGAGUGAGAACCCGGAGACGGAAUCUGAGACAAGAUUCCGGGCCCUACGGGGCGCAGCAGGCGCGAAACCUUUACACUGCACGACAGUGCGAUAGGGGGAUCCCAAGUGCACAGGCAUAGCGCCUGUGCUUUUCGGUACCGUAAGGUGGUACCAGAAUAAGGGCUGGGCAAGACCGGUGCCAGCCGCCGCGGUAAUACCGGCAGCCCAAGUGAUGGCCGAUCUUAUUGGGCCUAAAGCGUCCGUAGCUGGCCGCGCAAGUCCAUCGGGAAAUCCACCUGCUCAACAGGUGGGCGCCCGGUAGAAACUGCGUGGCUUGGGACCGGAAGGCGCGACGGGUACGUCCGGGGUAGGAGUGAAAUCCCGUAAUCCUGGACGGACCGCCGAUGGCGAAAGCACGUCGCGAGAACGGAUCCGACAGUGAGGGACGAAAGCCAGGGUCUCGAACCGGAUUAGAUACCCGGGUAGUCCUGGCCGUAAACAAUGCCUGCUAGGUGUGGCUCCCACUACGAGUGGGUGCUGUGCCGUAGGGAAGCCGCUAAGCAGGCCGCCUGGGAAGUUCGUCCGCAAGGAUGAAACUUAAAGGAAUUGGCGGGGGAGCACUACAACCGGAGGAGCCUGCGGUUUAAUUGGACUCAACGCCGGACAUCUCACCAGCAUCGACUGUAAUAAUGACGACCAGGUUGAUGACCUUGUCCGAGUUUCAGAGAGGAGGUGCAUGGCCGCCGUCAGCUCGUACCGUGAGGCGUG